GUGGGGAAUAUUGGACAAUGGGCGAAAGCCUGAUCCAGCCAUGCCGCGUGUGUGAAGAAGGUCUUCGGAUUGUAAAGCACUUUAAGUUGGGAGGAAGGGCAGUAAGUUAAUACCUUGCUGUUUUGACGUUACCGACAGAAUAAGCACCGGCUAACUUCGUGCCAGCAGCCGCGGUAAUACGAAGGGUGCAAGCGUUAAUCGGAAUUACUGGGCGUAAAGCGCGCGUAGGUGGUUUUGUAAGUUGGAGGUGAAAUCCCCGGGCUCAACCUGGGAUCUGCCUCCAAAACUGCAUGACUAGAGUACGGUAGAGGGUAGUGGAAUUUCCUGUGUAGCGGUGAAAUGCGUAGAUAUAGGAAGGAACACCAGUGGCGAAGGCGACUACCUGGACUGAUACUGACACUGAGGUGCGAAAGCGUGGGGAGCAAACAGGAUUAGAUACCCGGGUAGUCC
rnacentral:rRNA from 1 species